rnacentral:rRNA from 2 species
AGAGUUUGAUCCUGGCUCAGGAUGAACGCUGGCGGCGUGCUUAACACAUGCAAGUCGAACGAAGCACUUUAUUACGAUUUCUUCGGAAUGACGAUUUAGUGACUGAGUGGCGGACGGGUGAGUAACGCGUGGGUAACCUGCCUUAUACAGGGGGAUAACAGUUAGAAAUGACUGCUAAUACCGCAUAAGCGCACAGGAUUGCAUGAUCUGGUGUGAAAAACUCCGGUGGUAUAAGAUGGACCCGCGUCUGAUUAGCUGGUUGGUGAGGUAACGGCCCACCAAGGCGACGAUCAGUAGCCGACCUGAGAGGGUGACCGGCCACAUUGGGACUGAGACACGGCCCAAACUCCUACGGGAGGCAGCAGUGGGGAAUAUUGCACAAUGGGGGAAACCCUGAUGCAGCGACGCCGCGUGAGCGAAGAAGUAUUUCGGUAUGUAAAGCUCUAUCAGCAGGGAAGAAAAAAAUGACGGUACCUGACUAAGAAGCCCCGGCUAACUACGUGCCAGCAGCCGCGGUAAUACGUAGGGGGCAAGCGUUAUCCGGAUUUACUGGGUGUAAAGGGAGCGCAGGCGGUGCGGCAAGUCUGAUGUGAAAGCCCGGGGCUCAACCCCGGGACUGCAUUGGAAACUGUCGUACUUGAGUAUCGGAGAGGUAAGUGGAAUUCCUAGUGUAGCGGUGAAAUGCGUAGAUAUUAGGAGGAACACCAGUGGCGAAGGCGGCUUACUGGACGAUAACUGACGCUGAGGCUCGAAAGCGUGGGGAGCAAACAGGAUUAGAUACCCUGGUAGUCCACGCCGUAAACG